rnacentral:rRNA from 1 species
GAUAGCCAUGCAGUCUCAGUACAUGCCGCACUAAGGUGAAACCGCAAAAGGCUCAUUAAAUCAGUUAUGGUUCCUUGGAUCUUAAACAGUUACUUGGAUAACUGUGGUAAUUCUAGAGCUAAUACAUGCAAACAAGUCCCGACCAGAGAUGGGAGGGACGCUUUUAUUAGAUCAAAACCGAUCGGCGUCCGGCUCCGGCCGGCGCCGUCUCUUUUGGUGACUCUGGAUAACUUUUAGCCGAUCGCACGGUCACAGUACCGGCGACGCAUCUUUCAAAUGUCUGACUUAUCAACUGUCGAUGGUAGGCUCUGCGCCUACCAUGGUUGUAACGGGUAACGGGGAAUCAGGGUUCGAUUCCGGAGAGGGAGCCUGAGAAACGGCUACCACAUCCAAGGAAGGCAGCAGGCGCGCAAAUUACCCACUCCCGGCACGGGGAGGUAGUGACGAAAAAUAACGAUACGGGACUCAUCCGAGGCCCCGUAAUCGGAAUGAGUACACUUUAAAUACUUUAACGAGUACCAAUUGGAGGGCAAGUCUGGUGCCAGCAGCCGCGGUAAUUCCAGCUCCAAUAGCGUAUAUUAAAGUUGUUGCGGUUAAAAAGCUCGUAGUUGGAUCUGUGUGCCACGCUGUCGGUUCACCGCCUGUCGGUGUCAACUGGCAUGUCUGUGGGACGUCCUGCCGGUGGCGGUACGGGCUGCCGGCGCUGCGUAGGGGCUCGUCCCCGAAGCACGCCGGCGUGUCCCGGUCCGCCGAUCCAAUCCCGCCGCGGUGCUCUUCACUGAGUGUCGAGGUGGGCCGGCACGUUUACUUUGAACAAAUUAGAGUGCUCAAAUCAGGUCGUAUUUAGGCCUGAAUACUGUGUGCAUGGAAUAAUGGAAUAGGACCUCGGUUCUAUUUUGUUGGUUUUUUGGAAUCAGAGGUAAUGAUUAAUAGGGACAGUCGGGGGCAUUCGUAUUGCGACGUUAGAGGUGAAAUUCUUGGAUCGUCGCAAGACGAACCUAAGCGAAAGCAUUUGCCAAGUAUGUUUCCGUUAAUCAAGAACGAAAGUUAGAGGUU